AUACUUACGUGGCAGGGGGAGACGCCACAAUCACGAAGGUGGUUUUUCCAGGAUGAGGCUUAUGCAUCCCGAUGUGCUGAUUUCUCUGAUUUCCCCAAAUGUGGGGAACUCAGCUGUGUGGCUUCUGGUAGUGGGGGACUGUGUUCGCGUUUUCUCCUG